CUGGGCUUACAGGUAUGUGCUGUGCCACCAUCACCAGCUUAGAAAUUGUGUUUUUAAAAGCAUAUUUCAAAAUUAAUUCUAAGAUUCUAAUGAGUAAUACAUUCUUACGCCUAUAUUCCUCUCUCUCUCUCUCUCUCUCUCUCUCUCUCUCUCUCUCUCUCUCUCUCUCUCUCUCUCCCUCUCUCUCUCUCUCUCUCUGUGUGUGUGUGUGUGUGUGUUUACAAAGCUGUGUUUCUAGGUGUGGAAUUUCUAGGGCAUAGACUUCGUAUGUGUUUGGCUUUAGAAAAGCCAAAUGUUUUUCAAAAUAGUUGUGACCAGUUUAUGCUUUUAUUUAACAGGGUACAAGAAUCCCCAUUGCUACAUGUUUGACCUUGGCAAUGCUAAAAAGGUUGGGUUUUGCUUGUUGCUGUUUUAUAGGCUCUCUUCCCUUGUUCUGAGAUUUGAACCUAGGGUUUACACAUGCCAGCCAGGUGCUCUACUGCUGAGCUGUGUCUCUAGCUCUUUUGUUCCUUUCGGUUUUCUCUUUUAGAUGGUGUAAUACUCUUUUCCAAUGUGGUCUUGAACUCACCCUGUAACCCACCUAGGCCUUAAAUUUUCAAUCCUCCUUAACAUUUAGAAUAGCAAGAAGACCAGGCCUGGUUUUUGAUUGUCUUUUGAUAACUGAUUAUAAACACUCCUUAUACACUAUUUUGGACAUUAGAUAUACAUAUUGGAAAUAUUUUGCUUGGUUUGGGGCUUGUUAUUUUAACUUGUUUGUGGUAUAUUUUAGUGACCCAGUCUGUUUAAUAUUAAUAUAUGAAUUUUUUGUGUUUGAUUAUUUCUAAUAUGUUGUUUUUAAAAGAAUUCUUUCCUAACUCUGCAAUUAUUAACAUUUUUCCAUUUUUUUCUUUUUAGAACGUAAAUAUGCUCAUUUUCACAUUUAUUAUUAAAUCUAAAAGAUUUAGAAUGUUACAAGCGGUGGUAUAUUUAGGCUUUUAUGUUUCUGGUGUCUACAAACCUCCUGGUCCAUUAUGCGCCCUCUUUCGGCUGAUCUGCUGUAUUGUCUGGAGGACGACGGGCUUCCUUGAAUGUGUGGGUCCCUUUCUGAAUUCUUCACCCUGCUGUCAGAUCAAUUGCCUUAUCUAUUUAUAUUUUUAUGUCUAGUAAAUGAAGCCUAUCAGCAUCUCAUCAGCCAUUCAUUUCUCUUAAGCAGUUCCUUGGCAAUUCUUGGACAAUUCUUAGUUCAAAAGCAUGCGGCUUCCCAUAGGACUUUCUCUGAAGACACACUAACCCAGACUCCCAGCAAGUGUUGAAAUGGAGGGAGCAGACAUCUUUGCAGGGAGACCCAGCCACCCCAUUGUAUCAGCUGAAAGGUUUCUUUCCUCAGGUUGCUUUGCUUUGAUGUCUGUGUGAAAAGUUAAAUCCCUAACAGUAAAGAGUUGUUUGGGACUUCCUAACUCAUUUGUUUAAUGGGUAAUGUAUUUAUUUAAACGUUAUUGCUGUAUUAUCUUGAUGCAUAAUACAUAUACACUUCCUAGGGAGCAGACUUUAAGGGUUCUGGAAUAGCUUUGCUAUAUAUCCGUUUGUAUGAGGAAUUUUUAUCCAGCAAUAUAGCUGCUUUGGCAAGGAAUCACAUCUAAAGACCUUCUAGGUCUGUGUGAUAUGGCUGGAAUGUCACACAUUUAAUCCCUCUGGCUAGAAUAUAGACACAUCCUUAGUAGAUUCCUUUAAUUACAGAUAAUGAAGGCAAAGGUUGUAGAAGGAAGCAGCCAUGUUUGAAAGUUGCAUCUAAUUGAGGGGCAGACAGAGUGACAAAUGAGAGAAAGACUUGACAGAAGGAGUUGGAUACGCCCAACUCUGACAAGACCAGGAGUUGAAAGUCAGUUGAUGGGAGUGCAAUGCUGUUGAGUUUGUGACUGUUCAGUUCUUGGAGUUCAGAGGCAAUUUUCACUAGGACAGUUUUAUAGACAGGUUGCAGAGAGAACAAGGUAGACACAGGUGAAGACUGAAUGACCCAGAGAAUGAGAAGGAGCCAGAAGAGUAGAACCAAUUGAUAGUGUUAGUUUGAGGCCAAACAGAGCAAUUUAGUCAGAGGCUGGGAGAAGCCAGUUUGAAUUAGUCAGCUGGGAAAGGAGUUAGAGCCAGAACAGCUAUGUUGAGCCAGCCAACCAGAAUUCAGAAAGAGCUAGGGAGGGUGAGCUUAUUCAGCAGUAAGCCUCCAAGACAACAGGCGAGGAAGAGAUACUUUUACAAACUAGUUUUUAUAAUAAUAUUGAAGUUGACUAGACAGCUUGUUUCUUUUUCAUGAUUGCUAUGUAUGCUAAGCUUUGUUUUUUAAAUCAUAGAUUAUGCUUUGGAUUUACACUGGAAUUAAGUUAGAAAUCAAUAGCAGAAAAAAUAUGCAAAUAUUUAGAAAUUGAUAAAAGUCAUUUGAUUUUGGAAAUUAACAAUAAUAAAAAUUAAAGAAUAGUUUGGAUUAAAGGUAAAUAUGACAUAAUUUGUGGAACCAGCUAAUGUGCUUUAAGGGAAACAUAUGCUUGUAAAAUUAAAAAAUUAAAAAUGGGUUCACAUCUUAAGCUUCCAAUCUUAAGGAAUUCAAAAAAUAAAUUCAGAAAAUGAAAAGAACUGCUAAACAUAAUACGACUUAACACAAUGUGAGUUAAUUAUACAAUAGAAAUUGAGCAAAGAUUAGUAAUGCCUUUAGUGGUAUUGAUCAAGAAGGAAACAAGAGUUACUUAUUACUUACAUCAGGAAUGAAAACAAUAUUACUAUGAUUCUUAAAGUUAAUGAAAGACAGAGAUUAAAGACCAAAGAGAUGGCUGUUUGUAAACUGCUUGCUGCAAAUGUGAGGACUCGAAUUCAUGCUCCAGCACCCCUCUAAAUGUUAGGCAUGAUGACGUUCCCUGGUAAUCCCCAUUCUGGGGAAGCCAAGACAGCAGGAUCUGUAGGGCUUGCUGGCCAACCACUGUAGCCAUAUCACUGCAUUCCAAGUCCAGUGAGAGACUGCAUCAAAACCUUAUUUUUUUAAUUAGAUAUUUUCUUCAUUUAUAUUUCAAUUGCUAUCUGGAAAGUUUCUUAUACCCUCCCCCAGCUUUGCUCCCCAACCCACCCACUCCUGCUUCCUGGCCCUGGCAUUCCCCUGUACUGGGGCAUAUAAUCUUCACAAGGCCAAGGGCCUCUCGUCCCAAUGAUGGCCAACUCGGCCAUCCUCUGCUACAUAUGCAACUAGAGACAUAAGCUCUGGGAGAUACUGGUUAGUUCAUAUUAUUGUUCCACCUAUAGGGUUGCAGACCCCUUCAGCUCCUUGGGAAUUUUCUCUAGCUCCUUCAUUGGGGGCCCUGUGUCCCAUCCAAUAGAUGACUGUGAGCAUCUACUUCUGUAUUUGCCAGGAACUGGUAUAGCCUCAUGAGAGCUAUAUCAGGGUCCUGUCAGCAAAAUCUUGCUGGCAUAUGCAAUAGUGUCUGGGUUUGGUGGUUGUUUAUGGGAUGAAUCCCCAGGUGGGUCGAUCUCUGGAUGGUCCUUCCUUCCAUCUCAGCUCCAAACUUUGUCUCUGUAACUCCUUCCAUGGGUAUUUUGUUCCCCAUUCUAAGAAGGAAUGAAGUAUCCACCCAAUAGAGCAUAUAUUACAGUAGGCUUGGCUUAUAGGAGAAUUCAUCCUGCCACACCCUUCCCAGGAGCCUCUGGGCUAUGUUAUAUAGUUAACAGGGAAAUGUGGUCCUUUUGGUCACUCAGAAUCAACAAUACUUAGCCGGACAUGCUGGCUCUCAUCUACCAUCCUAGGAUUCUACAGGUAGAGGCAGGGGGAUCAUGACUUCAGUACCAGUCUCAGCCAUACACAGUGAGGUCAACCUGGUCUUAGAUCUUGUUACCAGAUGGAAUGUUGUAUUUAGUGUGAUAUAAACAGAAGCCAAUCAAAGCGCCAGUUGUAAAGACUAGAAUAUACUCAAAUAUUCGAAUUUUAAAGUGGUAAUUUUGAGAAUUCCCUUCAUGCUCUUGUCACAAACAAAGAUUUAAGUCACAUUAAAAGUUGACGAAUAUGCUUAAGACAAUAUGCAUGAUCUUUUUUUAGUUCCUCAAAAAGAUGAUUUUUGAAUUUUGUUUAAUUCCUAGCAAUUUUGGAGUCAUCUGAUAUCUUUCUUCCAGAAAAACAAUCUGAUGAUAUCUUUCAACAUUGGGUUACCAACAAGAAUUGUUAUAUUUAUACAUUGAUUCAUAAUUCCAGGUUUCUUCACAUUAUUUACUGUAAAGCUACAUUGAAUCUUCAUUGUUAUGCAUGUUAGGAAUGUACUCUCACGGAUGUCUUGCCCCACAGACAUUCCUACUUAUUAUAUUUCAAACUCUAAACUCCUAAAACAUUUUUACAAUGUAGUGGUUUCUUCUAUAUAAGUUAAACGUGUCACUCAUUUAUAAGAUUGCAUUUUCCUGUGUGUGCUAGACUGGAUAGUGAAAGCAUCUGGAUAACUGGUAUACCUGCUGUCUUUUUCAUCAUUUCCAUGUAUAAUAAGUACCCUUUACUAUCAUCGUUGCUUUACUCAAUAAUUCUUGCUCUUAACAUACCUUAAUUUUGUCUAGCCAUUUGUCACUUCAUCCAUCCAUCUGUCCAUCCAUCCAUCCAUCUACCCAGUCAUCCAUCCAAAUCUUAAAUAUCCUUCAACAUUCUUCUUCUGGGGUUGGGAUGAUAGCUCAUUCCAUAAAGUUUGUUCUAUGCAAAUAUCAGGACUUUGGUUUAAUCUACAGAAUUCAUUAAAAGAGCCAGGCAUAGUGGCAUAUAUCUGUAAUUCUAGUAUUUGAAUAUGUAUAAUACGAAGAAUUCCAGGUUCAGCAAGAGAGCCUGAUUCCCAAAGUAAGGUGGAGAGCAAUUGAGGAAGAUACCUUGCAUUGACUUCUGGUCUCUAAACAUGUACAUUUGUACCUGUGCAAACAUGUGCACCCACAUACAUUCAUGUAUCAUCAAAUAUGUGCACAGCCAGCCUAUAAAUAUACUAUGCACAUAUGUAUGUACAUACAUACAUACUCGAACAUAUAAACAAACAAAGAUCCUUCUUUCAACUUUGUCAGGGCACAACAUCCAAACUCUCUAUUUUGAGUCUUCACUCUUGUAAUACAUUAUAAUUAAAAUUAUGUAUUUAUUAGUCCAUAAGUGCUAUACUAGUUUGCAGAGUCUUGCCUUCAUGACUUCAUUCUCUGAUAUAUCCAUGCCCACUAUGGGUUCCAGUUUAGUGGCCUCCAUUAAGGGCAGACUUAUCAAAUAUCACACAAAGAUAUGCUAGGAAUAGAGUUAUAUUUGGGAAGUCUUUUAUAUCCUAACCUUUGCCCCAUCAUCAUAAGAAUAUUUACUAGCUAGGAGGACCAUGUCCCUCUAGGCCUUUCUCAAUCUAUUUAAUCACAAGAGGGAAGUUGAGAUCAGCCUCUUUGCCUAGAUGGUUCCUAAUUAACCCCAAAAGCAUAAUCCAUAAAUAUUUAUUGUUGAAUGACUUCCAAAGUUUUGCAUGCUUUUAUUAAAUGAGAGGAAAAUUAGUUCAUCUUUCUUAUGAAAGUCAUUGUAACCAUAGUUAAUUGACAUAAGUGUUCUCCUUCCUGUCUGCCUUGUUGAGUGUACCUCUUACUGGUCUCCUCUCUCAACACUCUCUAGCCAUGUUGUUCUUUCUAUUACCAUGUUAUGCCAAGAUCAGUUUUGGUGAGUCUCCUCCACCAUUACCUGUCAGAAGCAUCUGCCUCCUCUUCGUGUGAGCAUUUGCAACUCAUCAUGAGAUACAUCCAACUCUUAUAGCUUCUGAGGGCAUUUCCUUAGUUACAUGAGAUAAAAGAGCCCCUCAGCUCAGUCAUGUAUGACUCUGCCUACGUCCUUACAUUGUUCACCGUGCUUCUCUAUAAAAUCAUCUCACUUGUUUACAUAUUUACUGUCCAUCUCAUGCAUUAGUACUUUGUUUACUCCCCUUUGCUUGAAGAAGAGUGACAUGUAAUACACUUUCAAUGCAUAUAAUUUUAAAAGGUAUGGGUGCUUUUUCUUGUUAAGAUACAAGAUGGUACAAUAUAUGAUAGAUAGUUUGUUAAUUAUCUAGGUCUGCCGUAAAAAUGGCCUUAAAGCCAUUUGUUACCGAUGACUCUUUCUUACAGUUCCAGAAGCCACAAGUCAGAAAUCAGUGUGUGGACAGGACUGUUCUCACUCCAGAUGCUCCAGUGGGUCAUCCUUUCUUACCUCUUCCAGCUUCAGAUGACUGUUAGCUUUCGCUGGUUUGUGGUUUUCAUCGUUUUCAACUCUGCCUUUAGCGAUGCUCUUAGUGUCUGUUCUCAAUACUACUCUGCCUUUCUUCUAGAAGUAUUCAUAUAAGGGUGUUUAGUGCCCGUUGUGAUGACCCAGAAUUAUCUCCAUCUCAAAAAUCUUUAACUUAGUUAUAUUUUCAUUUACACUUCAUAAGUGUAACAUUGACAGGUUUAGGGGAUCUGAUAAUUAACUAGUAUAUGGGAGGCAGCUUAGCCUGUGAAAAUGUAUUUGAACAACAGGAGCAUCAUUUAAGGACACAUGCAAAGGGGCCUAACAUUCUCUAAGUUACCUCUCGGAGAUACUGCUUAGAUAGACAUGACCAUGUUACCUAAGAUUGUUCUGUGCUUAUUCCCUCUUUGGCAAGGCACUGGAAAUAAUAGCUAUGUUAGAACAUUGUAGAGAUUGGUGUGUAAGCACUGAGAACAGUUAAUCAGGCACUGACUGCACUUGUAGACUAACACCGUGUAUUAACUACGUACCAAGUUUCUAAAUGAAUGCUAUGUUUUAGCUAGCCAAACUAUUAAAGCAGAGACAAAAAUCAUUGCUCAAAAUCAUACAUCUAACUUGUGGUCCAGCUGAAGUUCAGUCACAGGCUGCUUCAGGGGUCUGAGUGAUGCUGGUAUUUUAAAAUUAUUACUGUGAGAAUAGAGUUGGCUCUUAACAUUUCCAGGAAAUCUAGAAGUUUCUGAUGGACAUGGGAAGCAUGAAUAUAAAUUAUGAAUCCUUGCAGCUUUGUGUUAAGUUGACCUCUUCUGGGCAAUGAUUAAUCUCACUACGUGGAUUAAGGGUACAUGUUCUAGAGACAUCCAUCUCUUUGGAGACUUAGGCAAGUAGAAUCAGUUCAUCUUUCCAUUUCUCAUUUUGCUUAAUGGAGAACAUACUUGGUUCUUUUUAGUUACUCUCCUGUUCUGAUAAAGUACUUUGACAAAACACUGUAAUGGUUUCUUCUGGCUCUUAGCUCAGCUCAAGGAUAUGGUCCAUCAUGGUGGGGAGAUCACAGUGGUAGGAGCUUAACAUCUAACAUUCACAGUUGGAAAGAAGUGAUGACUACAUCCUGUGGCUCAGGCUGUUUUCUUUCUCCACCUAAUAUAGGCUCCCAGCCAGAAAAUGGCACCACCUACACUGAGCAAUUGGCACCUCAAUCAAUACGGUCAAGGUUAUUCUCUAUUGGAUAUACUCAGAAGCUCAAGUCCCAGGUGACUCUAGAUACUCUUACCUUGACUACUUGAUGGCACAAAGCAUGACAGAGUCCAUUAGAAGUACUCUUUGAUUCUGUGGAGUGUUGCUGCAACUAUCUGUAAUAUCAGCUUUUAACAGGUCAUACAUGUUAGUGUAGAUAAUAUAUGAAUUAAGAAAAGGCCCUCUAUUAAGCUGAGUAGAAUUUGUUCCUGGCUAUUGCAAUAUAUGUAUGACAAUUAGAGUGUAAGAGAGCAGAGAGUGUAGUAGUCUUUUCUGUUCUGUUCCAGUCCCCUCCCCUUCCUGCUACCUCCUACCCUCAACAUCCCCCUUUAAAAUUUCACACCCAGAGUAGACCUUUGAAAGUGAAAAUUGCAUCAUUACACGUGUCUAUUAGAAACCUUUCCAGGUGUGCUAGCACACAUCUAUACUCCUUCCACCUAGGAGAUGGAGCUAGGAGGAUCAAGCCAGCCUAAGCUACAUAGCAAGUUUGAGGCCAUCUAUGGUUAAUGAGUUUCUGUCACCAAAAAUAAAUGAAACCUUAGGUACUGUAUUCUAAGGGUUAUGUUUCAAGGCCUUGUAACUACCCCAGUUUCUUCUCAAUCCAGUGCCAUUUCUGUUCUCUUUAGUGUUUGUCUUCAUCGUGACUGUGUUUGUAUCUCAAAUGUUUGACUUUGUAAUCCUAACAAUGCUGCGUGCUUAAAAUGCUGUUGGUAUGCUAUGUAGCUAACAGUGGCAAAACCCUUUCCUUCUCUUUCUUUAAAUAUAAUUUAGAAGUACAUUUCUCAUGUAAACAACCCACUGAUUAUCAUUCUUGGAUAUUUUUUUUCCUGUUGUGUAUAUCUUGGGUGUACUGGCAAUGGAGAUGGGAAGGGAAUGGGGAUCUUUCGUCCCCAAACAUAAUUUAAGAUUCCUCAUCCUCUACUCCAAACCCCGAGACAUUCUUCAGUGGAUGUUUAAGAAACACUAAUGGGUGCUGCAUCGCUGGGUGGCAGUGAGGCAUUGUGGUGAUACUACAGUGGCCACGUUUCAAGGUCUCGAUUGCCACGUGCUGGAGGGUGCAGAUGCAGAACAUUCUCAUCCUUGGAGGGUGCGCUGCUCCAUUCUGGCUCUGCAUUAGAACUUAGAUGCUUUUCUCUCCCCAUCAUCUCUUCCCUUCCAUCUCUAUCAAGCAGCCCCCGCCAGUCCUUUUCCCAGACUUAGGACUUUUGCUUCUGUUUUGUGGCCCAUUUGCCUUAGCUGGGGCCAUCUAUGUGAUGGUUGGAUUGGGGCUAUCCAUUAGAACCCGUCAGGAUCACUGGUGGGUGCACAGAUGAGUGCAAUGACUCUCCCCUGAAUCUAUCAGUAGCACAAGGUUCAGCAGUAAAGAGUAGGUCCCUAAGCCCACCUCCAUGGCUAACGGUUGAUAGGUUCGUUCUUGUGCACAUUGUGAGCAUGCAUCCACAGAUGCUGAGUUCCUGACUGCAAUGGAUGCUUUGCCUAGAUGAUGGCAGGUUGGAGCCCUUCUCCCUAUCUUUUGUGGCUUACAUUCUUUCCAUGCCCCCUUAUGCAGUGUUCCCUUAAGCCUAGAGGGAAUCUUCCUUUUCUCCACCCCCGCAUUUAUGUAUCUGUAGACACACUUGGGCAUUUAAGUGGAGAGGCCAGAGUAGACCAGAGUUUAAUAUCAGGUGGUUUUCUCUACCUCAAUUCACCUUACUUUUUCUCCUUAGGUUCUCUUGAUGAACCAGAAAUUGACCAAUUUGGGUAGAAUGUUUGGCUAGGACCUUGUCUUUGUGUGCCUGAAGCACAUGCUGGCUUUUUACUGGGCCUCUGGAGGAUCUGAAUUCAAGUCCUAUGUACAGCAUCAUUUUCCUCACAGACACCUCUGCCAGCCCUGUUUUAGGUCUUGCCUCCUCAGUAGGAAAUGAGAAAUUUGUGUCUCAUAGUUUCCUUAUACCUAUUUUCACUCAACAAAUGUUUUUGGUCAUAUAUUGUAUGCAAGUCACUAAACUAAGUGCUGAGAAUUUGGUUGUGGAUAAGAUAGUUUCAAGCCUUUUUGCAUGGAGCAUAUAUUUUAAUGGGAAAGGCAGUCAUUAAGUAGUCAGAUAAAUAACCAGAAUUAUAUCAUGAAAUGUAUCAUAGCUGCUAGAGUGACUCUUGAGGAAUUGACUAAUGGACACCACCAAUUUCUUAGCUACUGACAAGUUGGAAGCACAGAAAGCUGGAUAGGAAUUUAUGGCUGAGGCCUACAGAUACCAUCAGCAUUUUAGUGCAGUCAAUAAAUUAAGUGAUGUUCAGGCUGUUUUCUGUGUUUUUCUCGUUUCUGACAUAGAACAAUGAUUAUGUCAGUUGCUCUGUGGUUUAAAGCCACAGUUAUUCUGAGAGGACACAGUUGCCAUCAGUGAGCAGUGACUGAUCCAAAAGAAUUCUGGCCGAGGUCUUGCCAGUGAUGGAAAGAAACGGUAUGUUCUUGCAGCUGCCAGAAGUUAUGCUAUUCUAGCUGAUGGCAACUUUUUUUGUCUUGAAACCCUUUCUGUAUUGUGACUUGUGACCACAUGAGUGAUUGCUGAGAAAGCAGAGAGCAUGCUAAUUCAUUGAACAGCUUUUUAUCCACAGAUAACUUCAAGUUGUCUGGAUACCUCAUAGAUGCUUUUGAUAAUGACAUUCCAGAGAAUGAUGUAGAAGAUAAACCUGGAACAUUGGGGCUUUACUAUUGUUCAUUAUUUUAGUUGUCUUUCACUCUUUACACCCUCAGUGCUGUUACUCUGGGAAGUCCUAGCAGCUUUCUUUAGUACAAAGGGGGCAAAAGAACUGUAGUUCUUUUCUUGGAGAUAUUUUUUGUUAGUGUGUGUAUCUUUUUUUUUUUAAAGGUAUUUUCCUCAUUUACAUUUCCAAUGCUAUCCCAAAAGUCCCCCCUACCCACUCCCACCUUUUGGCCCUGGCGUUCCCCUGUACUGGGGCAUAUAAAGCUUGCAAGUCCAAUGGGCCUCUCUUUCCAGUGAUGGCCAACUAGGCCAUCUUUUGAUACAUAUGCAGCUAGAGUCAAGAGCUCCGGGGUACUGGUUAGUUCAUAAUGUUGUUCCACCUAUAGGGUUGCAGAUCCCUUUAGCUCCUUGGGUACUUUCUCUAGCUCCUCCACUGGGGCCCUGUGAUCCAUCCAAUAGCUGACUGUGAUCAUCCACUUCUGUGUUUGCUAGGCCCCGGCAUAGUCUCACAAGAGAGAGCUAUAUCUGGGUCCUUUCAGCAAAAUCUUGCUAGUGUAUGAAAUGGUGUCAGCGUUUGGAAGCUGAUUAUGGGAUGGAUCCCCGGAUAUGGUAGUCUUUAGAUGGUCCAUCCUUUUGUCACAGCUCCAAACUUUGUCUCUGUAGUGUGUGUAUCUUAAUCCUUGCUCCUGUUAAAUGAUGUGCCAGUGGAUGCUGACACUGUCGAUAUAAACAACCACUGGUUAUCCUAUCAGUAAUUAUCGGAAGAGAAAUACAUAGUAGAGGAACAGAAGUAAUUGGGCUGGUGUGGUGGCUUUGAAUCUUCCUGAGGACAAGACUCAGUUAAUUCUUGUUGGGUGAAUGUAGGGACUGGAUUCUUUUCCUUACAGGCAUGCGGUAUUUGCUGUAGUUCCAGCCGCUCCAGAUUCCUGCCUGGAAGGUGCUGGAAAACAGGCAAAGAUUAAAUGAUGGAUGUUGUGAUUCAGUUAUUCCCUGUAAAACCCUUUUCUUGAAGCCCCACCGGGUUGAUCUUGCCUACCUCUCAUACCAUCACCCAUCAUUGCAAGGCAUGGCAGGAAAGGAAUCCUAGCCGUCGUCAGCUGUCACGCCAAAUGAUGUAGUUUCAGUUUUUAAGGGACCUUAGUAGCAUGGAAAUUAUAUUGCAGCUAGGUAGGCUGGUGCAUGUGUUAGAGAAGGAGGGGGCGGGGAGAGAGAGACACACACAGAGACAGAGACAGAGAGAGGGAGGAUAGAGAGUUCCAGGCUGGCUUGUAAAUGUCCUGUUGCACAUUUCAAUACCUAAGUAAAGAAAUGGUGCUGGAAGCUGACCAUCUGGACAGUGGUUUCAUUGGUGAACAGUGGAGUGGACAAGAGGAAAAGCCAGGCUUAAUCCCCUUUUUAAUGUUUUUUUAUUUGGAAGUUUUUAAAAAUAAAGUCUUAGUUACUAAAAAAAGAAGUUUUAAGAGAUGUUCUGGGGGCUGGUGAGAUGGCUCAGUGGGUAAGAACACCCGACUGCUCUUCCGAAGGUCAGGAGUUCAAAUCCCAGCAACCACAUGGUGGCUCACAACCAUCCGUAACGAGAUCUGGCGCCCUCUUCUGGAGUGUCUGAAGACAGCUUCAGUGUACUUACAUAUAAUAAAUAAAUCUUUAAAAAAAAAAAAAAAAAGAGAUGUUCUGGUGUGCAAUAACUAAAUGUGCAUUAAAUGUAGCUCUACAAAAACCUGGAAAAAUGUCCAUCCUCCUGUUUAUGUUACCUAAGUUGUUCUAGUAAGCAUCAUUUAUUCAUUGCUAGUCCAGUUAAACCCACGACCUUCAGGAUUGAUCUCUCAGAGGAGAAAACUUGGUAUCAAAUAAAUGCUAUUGAAAUGGA